rnacentral:rRNA from 1 species
GUAGGGACCAAGCGUUGUUCGGAUUUACUGGGCGUAAAGGGCGCGUAGGCGGCAAAUUAAGUCAUCUGUGAAAUCUCCGAGCUUAACUCGGAACGGUCAGGUGAUACUGAUCUGCUAGAGUGCGGAAGGGGCAAUCGGAAUUCUUGGUGUAGCGGUGAAAUGCGUAGAUAUCAAGAGGAACACCUGAGGUGAAGACGGGUUGCUGGGCCGACACUGACGCUGACAGCGCGAAAGCCAGGGGAGCAAACGGGAUUAGAUACCCCGGUAGUCCUGGCCUUAAACGAUGAAUACUUGGUGUCUGGAGUCUCUAUAGCUCCGGGUGCCGUCGCUAACGUUUUUAGUAUUCCGCCUGGGGAGUACGCACGCAAGUGUG